GUUAAUUCUGUCGACCAAUUACUUUUUUCUUUUCUUUUUUAAACAAAACCAAGACAAUAGGUUUGAUGUGGUGGUCCCAAUUGUCAUGAAAACACUACAAAACCUCAGUGCUUGGAAGGAAGAGAAGAGCAGACAUAUGGACACAUUUCAACUUUCAUCCUGUAAAUUUUAGUCAACUAAAUCAAGUUUAUAGUUAGUCUACUAAAAUCUUAUGACAUUUAAAACUAAAAGAAUUUAGAUGCCUAAUUUAUUAUGUUAAACUAAAUAAUGUUUUAGUUAAAAGACUAAGACUAAACUACAUCUAAAUUUCAUGUGAAACUCAACACCGCAGUAAAUUACUGGUUAACCAACCAAAGGCUAACGACACAAAACAAAAUGCCUCGUGGAGAUUCGGUACCAGAACACAGAAACAGGUUAUUCUUGUCUAAAUGAUAAUGCAACCUGCACUAGCCAGUUACUCACUAACAUUCUUUCAUUGGGAGCUGCAGUUACACUUCCUAUCUUUUACUUCUGGCUUUUAAUUUGUGUCAACUUCGGAGAAUAUGUAAAGUGUUCAGUGGAGUUGAACAUAGCUUCUGUUGUUUAAACAACACAAGCUCUGCUGUGUCUCGGUUUUGAUAUCAUGCAGGUGUAACGAUGGAAAUAAUGAGACGCUACAAUCUUGAUGCAAAACUUCACUGGACUUUAAAUAAUCUUAGCUUUGUAUUUACAUAUAUGCAUGUAUGCACCCCCUUGUGGGUGUGGGCAUCUCUCUGCCCAGUUCUCUGAUACUGUUGAAUUUAUGUAAGUAGCCCGCUGUUAGAACAAUGUGUCCAAGUCUGUGUGACAGAACAAUCUAGCAUUUGGUGUACAAAGAGCAGUUUGUCCUCAUGACAUCACUGCACAACUCUUCCUCCGCUCCAUGUGGACAAACCACAGUGGCCUCUGGAUGUCCUGUGCUUGCCAGUGAGAUAAAACAGUAUGCUUAAGGCUUCCAGACAAAGAAAUGAAAUCAGACAUUGUGUUGAUAAAGAACAAACAAGCACAGCACAUUUUAUCUGGUAAGGGUUUUCCCAUGUUGGAGUCUGGUGUCCCCUGACGUUUGGUAUCUAACAAUAGGUAAGAUCGCUUUUAACUUUUUUUUUCUUAACAGUGGACUACUUUUGUCGUCAUCCUAUUACUAGGGUAUCAAUUUUCCAAGAUUAUUUUGAAUUUCCAUUUCGAGGAAUUUAUGCUACUUGGAAAAACCGGGUAUCAAGUGCACCGACUUAGACAUAGGGCCAAGGCUUUAACAAAGAGUGUUGAAAUUUUCAAAUCCACAGCAAGCAAAUUCGCCACACCCGUAUUAACUGAUCAGGAGCAAAAAGAACAAGAAAAUAAUAAUAACAAUGUAAAAAACUGAGAACAAAGCCACAUGGCAAACUAAUCAAGCCAAACCCAAGGCUACAGUGUUGACAUAGUUCACAUAUCAACUUUGCAACAGGAAUAAUCACAAGUCUAUUGUGGUCAAAGACAGAUAAGUUGACAUUUCCGUGAGCCGGCCAUUCACUGGAUCUUGAUUCCCAAGAAACGGGUGUAACUUGAUAUACAAGAGGUGUAAGCAAGCAAAAUAAUUUAAAGGGAGCAGUUUCAAACACAGUGAGCAGUCACUGGUUGUCCUGGCUGCAGGACAUGCAAAUUGAUGCACCAGGAAGUCGUCACUUUCAUGAUACAUGUGGGAGGGAAAACAAGCAGGUGUUCUUGGAAAAAAAAAACAGAAGGUGUGUCCCAUCAGGUGUGUGCAUUAACAAUGGGGAAGCAGGAUCAUACAGAGUCACCUACCUGUUCACAACAGUCAGAAGGAGGACUUAAUAUGCAUUACUGAACAAGAGUUAACCACCUCUGCUGAAGCUUACAGGACUAAUACAACACAGCAUAAAAAGAAUUUCCUGGAGCAUCUGAACACUGCGGUAUCAAAUCAAAUGAUGCCAGAGUUGCCAUCUUUGUUUGACACAAGCCACACUUUCAGAAUGCUGGCCAUUAUACAUGAAUGGGAGGGCAUGUCUGCCAGUCACACAGACAACACUGGAAAAUCCAUGCAUCCCUGCAGAUGCCAAAAGAUCUGAAUACUACACUGCAUGUACUCACAUCCUUGGAUCAGAAGCCUCAAAACCAGCCCGGUUGAGGUAGUAACCUGUGACUGCAUCAGGAAUCUGGUG